GACGAACGCUGGCGGCGUGCUUAACACAUGCAAGUCGAGCGGAAAGGCCCUGCUUUUGUGGGGUGCUCGAGUGGCGAACGGGUGAGUAACACGUGAGUAACCUGCCCUUGACUUUGGGAUAACUUCAGGAAACUGGGGCUAAUACCGGAUAGGAGCUCCUGCUGCAUGGUGGGGGUUGGAAAGUUUCGGCGGUUGGGGAUGGACUCGCGGCUUAUCAGCUUGUUGGUGGGGUAGUGGCUUACCAAGGCUUUGACGGGUAGCCGGCCUGAGAGGGUGACCGGCCACAUUGGGACUGAGAUACGGCCCAGACUCCUACGGGAGGCAGCAGUGGGGAAUAUUGCACAAUGGGCGGAAGCCUGAUGCAGCAACGCCGCGUGCGGGAUGACGGCCUUCGGGUUGUAAACCGCUUUCGCCUGUGACGAAGCGUGGGUGACGGUAAUGGGUAAAGAAGCACCGGCUAACUACGUG
rnacentral:rRNA from 1 species